rnacentral:rRNA from 1 species
GGCGGCGUGCCUAAUACAUGCAAGUCGAACGAGUUCUGAUUAUUGAAAGGUGCUUGCAUCUUGAUUUAAUUUUGAACGAGUGGCGGACGGGUGAGUAACACGUGGGUAACCUGCCCUUAAGUGGGGGAUAACAUUUGGAAACAGAUGCUAAUACCGCAUAAAUCCAAGAACCGCAUGGUUCUUGGCUGAAAGAUGGCGUAAGCUAUCGCUUUUGGAUGGACCCGCGGCGUAUUAGCUAGUUGGUGAGGUAACGGCUCACCAAGGCAAUGAUACGUAGCCGAACUGAGAGGUUGAUCGGCCACAUUGGGACUGAGACACGGCCCAAACUCCUACGGGAGGCAGCAGUAGGGAAUCUUCCACAAUGGACGCAAGUCUGAUGGAGCAACGCCGCGUGAGUGAAGAAGGCUUUCGGGUCGUAAAACUCUGUUGUUGGAGAAGAAUGGUCGGCAGAGUAACUGUUGUCGGCGUGACGGUAUCCAACCAGAAAGCCACGGCUAACUACGUGCCAGCAGCCGCGGUAAUACGUAGGUGGCAAGCGUUAUCCGGAUUUAUUGGGCGUAAAGCGAGCGCAGGCGGUUUUUUAAGUCUGAUGUGAAAGCCCUCGGCUUAACCGAGGAAGUGCAUCGGAAACUGGGAAACUUGAGUGCAGAAGAGGACAGUGGAACUCCAUGUGUAGCGGUGAAAUGCGUAGAUAUAUGGAAGAACACCAGUGGCGAAGGCGGCUGUCUGGUCUGUAACUGACGCUGAGGCUCGAAAGCAUGGGUAGCGAACAGGAUUAGAUACCCUGGUAGUCCAUGCCGUAAACGAUGAAUGCUAGGUGUUGGAGGGUUUCCGCCCUUCAGUGCCGCAGCUAACGCAUUAAGCAUUCCGCCUGGGGAGUACGACCGCAAGGUUGAAACUCAAAGGAAUUGACGGGGGCCCGCACAAGCGGUGGAGCAUGUGGUUUAAUUCGAAGCAACGCGAAGAACCUUACCAGGUCUUGACAUCUUUUGAUCACCUGAGAGAUCAGGUUUCCCCUUCGGGGGCAAAAUGACAGGUGGUGCAUGGUUGUCGUCAGCUCGUGUCGUGAGAUGUUGGGUUAAGUCCCGCAACGAGCGCAACCCUUAUGACUAGUUGCCAGCAUUUAGUUGGGCACUCUAGUAAGACUGCCGGUGACAAACCGGAGGAAGGUGGGGAUGACGUCAAAUCAUCAUGCCCCUUAUGACCUGGGCUACACACGUGCUACAAUGGAUGGUACAACGAGUUGCGAGACCGCGAGGUCAAGCUAAUCUCUUAAAGCCAUUCUCAGUUCGGACUGUAGGCUGCAACUCGCCUACACGAAGUCGGAAUCGCUAGUAAUCGCGGAUCAGCACGCCGCGGUGAAUACGUUCCCGGGCCUUGUACACACCGCCCGUCACACCAUGAGAGUUUGUAACACCCGAAGCCGGUGGCGUAACCCUUUUAGGGAGCGAGCCGUCUAAGGUGGGACAAAUGAUUAGGGUGAAG